UACGGAGGGUGCAAGCGUUAUCCAGAUUUACUGGGUUUAAAGGGUGCGUAGGUGGGUUGGUAAGUCAGUGGUGAAAUCUUCGAGCUUAACUCGGAAACUGCCAUUGAUACUAUCAAUCUUGAAUUAUCUGGAGGUAAGCGGAAUAUGUCAUGUAGCGGUGAAAUGCUUAGAUAUGACAUAGAACACCCAUUGCGAAGGCAGCUUACUACGGAUAUAUUGACACUGAGGCACGAAAGCGUGGGGAUCAAACAGG
rnacentral:rRNA from 1 species